AACAAACCCACCUCCAAGAGUCUUCUCCCAGACUCCAGCCUUGAGGAUGAGGACUCCAGCCACAGCCUCCUCAAGAAGUUUGAAGUCUGCAUUGAACUCAUUAAUUUCCAGCUUUUGGCCGGGCGUGGUGGCUCAUGACUAUAAUUCCAGCACUUUAGGAGGCCAAGGUGGGCGGAUCACCUGAGGUCAGGAGUUUGUGACCAGCCUCACCUACAUGGUAAAGCCUCGUCUCUAUAAAAAUACAAAAAUUAGGCGGGCAUGGUGGUGG
rnacentral:lncRNA from 1 species